rnacentral:rRNA from 1 species
CCAGACUCCUACGGGAGGCAGCAGUGAGGAAUAUUGGUCAAUGGGCGGGAGCCUGAACCAGCCAAGCCGCGUGAGGGAAGAAGGUACAGCGUAUCGUAAACCUCUUUUGUCAGGGAACAAAGGCGGGGACUAGUCCCCGGAUGAGGGUACCUGAAGAAAAAGCAUCGGCUAACUCCGUGCCAGCAGCCGCGGUAAUACGGAGGAUGCGAGCGUUAUCCGGAUUUAUUGGGUUUAAAGGGUGCGCAGGCGGAGGUGCAAGUCAGUGGUCAAAUUGCGGGGCUCAACCCCGUACUGCCGUUGAAACUGCAUCCCUUGAGUGCGCGAGAAGUAUGCGGAAUGCGUGGUGUAGCGGUGAAAUGCAUAGAUAUCACGCAGAACUCCGAUUGCGAAGGCAGCAUACCGGCGCGCAACUGACGCUCAUGCACGAAAGCGUGGGUAUCGAACAGGAUUAGAUACCCGCGUA